rnacentral:rRNA from 1 species
UGGGGAAUUUUGGACAAUGGGCGAAAGCCUGAUCCAGCAAUGCCGCGUGUGUGAAGAAGGCCUUCGGGUUGUAAAGCACUUUUGUCCGGAAAGAAAUCCUUGGCUCUAAUACAGUCGGGGGAUGACGGUACCGGAAGAAUAAGCACCGGCUAACUACGUGCCAGCAGCCGCGGUAAUACGUAGGGUGCAAGCGUUAAUCGGAAUUACUGGGCGUAAAGCGUGCGCAGGCGGUUUGCUAAGACCGAUGUGAAAUCCCCGGGCUCAACCUGGGAACUGCAUUGGUGACUGGCAGGCUAGAGUAUGGCAGAGGGGGGUAGAAUUCCACGUGUAGCAGUGAAAUGCGUAGAGAUGUGGAGGAAUACCGAUGGCGAAGGCAGCCCCCUGGGCCAAUACUGACGCUCAUGCACGAAAGCGUGGGGAGCAAACAGGAUUAGAUACCCUGGUAGUCCACGCCCCUAAACGAUGUCAACUAGUUGUUGGGGAUUCAUUUCCUUAGUAACGUAGCUAACGCGUGAAGUUGACCGCCUGGGGGAGUACGGUCGCAAGAUUAAAACUCAAUGAAUUGACGGGGUCAUAGCUGUUUCCU